AGGUAGUAGUGGGUGUAAUGUACCUACUAGCCUACAACGGGUACGGGUUGUGAGAGCAAGAGCCCGGAGAUGGAUUCUGAGACAUGAAUCCAGGCCCUACGGGGCGCAGCAGGCGCGAAAACUUUACAAUGCGGGAAACCGUGAUAAGGGGACACCGAGUGCUAGCAUCAUAUGCUGGCUGUCCAGGUGUGUAAAAUACACCUGUUAGCAAGGGCCGGGCAAGACCGGUGCCAGCCGCCGCGGUAACACCGGCGGCCCGAGUGGUGAUCGUGAUUAUUGGGUCUAAAGGGUCCGUAGCCGGUUUGGUCAGUCCUCCGGGAAAUCUGACAGCUCAACUGUUAGGCUUUCGGGGGAUACUGCCAGACUUGGAACCGGGAGAGGUAAGAGGUACUACAGGGGUAGGAGUGAAAUCUUGUAAUCCCUGUGGGACCACCUGUGGCGAAGGCGUCUUACCAGAACGGGUUCGACGGUGAGGGACGAAAGCUGGGGGCACGAACCGGAUUAGAUACCCGGGUAGUCCCAGCCGUAAACGAUGCUCGCUAGGUGUCAGGCAUGGCGCGACCGUGUCUGGUGCCGCAGGGAAGCCGUGAAGCGAGCCACCUGGGAAGUACGGCCGCAAGGCUGAAACUUAAAGGAAUUGGCGGGGGAGCACAACAACGGGUGGAGCCUGCGGUUUAAUUGGACUCAACGCCGGACAACUCACCGGGGACGACAGCAAUAUGUAGGCCAGGCUGAAGACCUUGCCUGAAUCGCUGAGAGGAGGUGCAUGGCCGUCGCCAGUUCGUACUGUGAAGCAUCCUGUUAAGUCAGGCAACGAGCGAGACCCA
rnacentral:rRNA from 1 species